rnacentral:misc_RNA from 1 species
GAUGAAGAACGUAGCGAAAUGCGAUAAGUAGUGUGAAUUGCAGAAUUUAGUGAAUCAUCGAAUCUUUGAACGCACAUUGCGCCCUUUGGUAUUCCUUAGGGCAUGCCUGUUCGAGCGUCAUCUACACCCUCAAGAACAGCUUGGUGAUGGGCGCCUGUCCCGCCCCCCACGGGGGCGCGGACUCGCCUCAAAUGCAUUGGCGGCCGGCGACCUGGCUUCGAGCGCAGCAGAAACGCGUACUCGGGGACCGGGCGCCCGCUCCCAGAAGCCAACCCACCCAGUUUGACCUCGGAUCAGGUAGGGAUACCCGCUGAACUUAAGCAUAUCAAUAAGCGGAGGA